rnacentral:rRNA from 1 species
UACGUAGGUGGCAAGCGUUGUCCGGAUUUACUGGGCGUAAAGCGCGCGCAGGCGGACUGAUCAGUCUGGGGUGAAAUCUCCCGGCUCAACUGGGAGCGGUCCCUGGAUACUGUCAGUCUUGAGAGACCUAGAGGAGAGCGGAAUUCCCGGUGUAGUGGUGGAAUGCGUAGAUAUCGGGAAGAACAUCGGUGGCGAAGGCGGUCUGCUGGGCCGUUGCUGACGCUGAGGCGCGACAGCGUGGGGAGCAAACAGG